UACGUAGGGGGCAAGCGUUGUCCGGAAUCAUUGGGCGUAAAGAGCGUGUAGGCGGCCCGGUAAGUCCGCUGUGAAAGUCCAGGGCUCAACCCUGGGAUGCCGGUGGAUACUGUCGGGCUCGAGUCCGGAAGAGGAGUGUGGAAUUCCGUGGUGUAGCGGUGAAAUGCGCAGAUAUCAGGAGGAACACCAAUGGCGAAGGCAGCAACCUCGUGGGAAGCGUGACUGACGGCUGAGACGCGAAAGCGUGGGGAGCAAACGGG
rnacentral:rRNA from 1 species